GGAGACAGAGUUACUGAGAGCUCCCAAGAGGAAGGCGAGUAGCAAGGCGUGCUGCACGGGACCGGCACGGAGAAGCACCAGGGUCAGGAGGCAGAGACGGAGCCUUUGUUUCAUGGCAAGCCUGGCUAAGCAGGCCUUCUCAGCUUUGGCACUAUGGAUAUUCAGAGUCAGAUCAGUCCUUGUUGGAAGCAGUCCCGUGCUCCGCAGGACGAGGAGCAUCCCUGGUUUCCGCCCACCAGACGCAGGAAACUUUUCAGAAGUGGGAUUGCUGAACUGAAGCCAGGGCACGCCUGCACUAAACUGUGCCCUUGCCAGAUAAGGCACCAGAGGUGGAGAAGGCUUCACUCCGUGCUCGGCAGCAGUGAGAGUUCAGCUUUCCAGUCUUCGCCAGUCUGAUGCUGUUUAUGGUUUCGUUCUCUUGUAGAAUCAUAUUGAUCGUUCCUUCCAGGAAAAUGUUAAGUAACAGCAGUGAUCACGAGGAGCCCCCUUUUGGCUCUGACGUUAGCAGUGUCCUUGGAAAAACUGUUAUCCCGCAGAUAUGUAUGUGCAUGUUUUAUGUAUAAACUCAUUUCUCAAGCGCUCUGCAAUGGGGUCUUAAUGUUCUCUUCAAACAUAAGGUUGUUUAUGAGAGAGCAUUAACGUUUCUAAGCAGUUGGAGGAUUUUAUUUCUACUCUGAUUAUUUAUUCCUCAUGUAUUCAAUUGUGGUGAUAAACAAUGCAGCUUGUCUGUACUAUUUCUUUUGGAAUCGAUUGAGAUUUCCUUUGCAGCUCAAGUCAAUUUUUGUAAAUGUUUAUAAAUAUUACAUUACCUCUGGAACCUAAGCGGCGCCAGAGCAGGGACCACCGUCCCACCCCCCCGCCCCCCACCCCUGCUCCCGCACUGCCCAGGGCUUUGACUGAUACCUGGCACAUGAUCGAUGCUCAAUAUAAAUUUGUUGAAUAAAGGACUGGAUGAGGGGGGCUGACUCAGUCGGAAGAGUGGGCAACUCUUGAUCUCGGAGUUGUGAGUUCGAGCCCCACGUUGGGUGUAGAGAUGACUAAAAAAUAAAUAAAUAAAGUUAAA